UACGGAGGGCGCAAGCGUUGUCCGGAAUUAUUGGGCGUAAAGAGCUCGUAGGCGGCCUGUUACGUCUGCUGUGAAAUCCCGGGGCUUAACCCCGGGCGUGCAGUGGAUACGGGCAGGCUGGAGGCAGGCAGGGGAGAACGGAAUUCCCGGUGUAGCGGUGAAAUGCGCAGAUAUCGGGAGGAACACCGGUGGCGAAGGCGGUUCUCUGGGCCUGUACUGACGCUGAGGAGCGAAAGCGUGGGGAGCGAACAGG
rnacentral:rRNA from 1 species